rnacentral:lncRNA from 1 species
GGACAAUUCUCCACUUUUAACUUCUGCAAUGAUGAAAGGGUGAGCACAAUCUCGUUUCCAUCCCUUCCUUUGAAUUGAGGUAAAUCUUCCAACACAACCUCAUUCAGUAGAGGAAGACCUUGAGCCAUUGAUAUUGGAAAAGUGUCUUCCAAUUGAAGGCAAUCGUAAAUUUCAAGUUUUGUCGAACUUUUCAAAAUGCGACCAUGGGACAAUGAGGAAAGAGAUGUCAACAUGUUGCAUUCACGUACAAAUACUUCCAUUAGACUAUAGAGACAUAUGUUGGACUCUUUUUUUGCUUUGAUUAUUUCUUCCAAUCCAAAGCACCUCUCUAGAGUUUGCA